GUUGUCGGAUUUACUUCAAUCCAUGUGUGUUGGUGUGGAUUAAGAUGGAAUUUAGUUCAAGUUCUACUCCAAUCCACGUCGACACAUGUGGAUUGGAUUGAUGUGAAUCCGACU
rfam:Sorghum bicolor cultivar BTx623 chromosome 1, whole genome shotgun sequence.